AACAAGCGAUUCUCGGGAGGCAACCCGAGCACUAACGAUGUUAACUUCUUUAAAUUUUAGUUUUUAAACAUUUAAUUCACUAACUGAGUCACUGAACACAGGAUUUCCAGAACCACACGGCCAGGCACACGGGUGUGCCUUAGGCCAUGCCCAUAUCACGGGAGAAAACACGGUCGUGCGAUACGGCCGUGUGAAAAUAGAGUAAAAAUGUUUCCCCAACACGGGAUUCGAUAAGUUGCCACGGCCGUGCAACAUGACCGUGGGCAAUCUUGCCAUAUUAACAUGAGCGUGCGACACGCCUGUGCCCACCGACCGUGGUCGAGUCUGUCAAAACAACAUGGGCGUGCGCCUGCAUACACAGGCGUGGGAGAAGUGAAUGAAGAAUGACACGGCCGUGCAACAUGGUCGUGUGCACUAAUGUGCCCAAUUUCGAAAACCACGAAACGCACGAGCUAAAAUGAGGGCACACGGGCGUGCCCCACGG
rnacentral:lncRNA from 1 species